CUCAGCAGCUGACAUAAUUUGAUUCAGAUUGCCCUCCCAUAACCCUCAUCUUAACCAUAACGUAACUUUGUAACAGUCGUCGGGAAUAUGUGUGCGUCACUGUGAAUUUGUACCUUUUCCCAUUCCUGUUAUUAGUGGAAUGGCUUAAUUUGUAAGGCCGGCCAAUUGUACAGGGGGAGGGGAGCACCUGGCUUGGAGGGCCAACAGACUGUAUGGGGAGGAGCCAACAGACUGUAUGGGGAGGAGCCAACAGACAGUACAGGGAGGUGCCAACAGACUGUAUGGGGAGGAGUCAACAGACAGUACAGGGAGGAGCCAACAGACAGUACAAGGAGGAGCCAACAGACUGUAUGGGGAGGAGCCAACAGACAGUACAGGGAGGAGCCAACAGACUGUAUGGGGAGGUGCCAACAGACAGUACAGGGAGGAGCCAACAGACUGUAUGGGGAGGAGUCAACAGACAGUACAGGGAGGAGCCAACAGACUGUAUAGGGAGGAGCCAACAGACUGUAUGGGGAGGAGCCAA